rnacentral:antisense_RNA from 1 species
AGAAAAACAGGCGGCGUAGCAGGUGGGCAGCACGUUGCCAUGAUGUGCCGUGGCCCGGCCGUGGCUGGCGUGAUCCCACCAGAGUGAGCUGAAGCAGAUCUGCACCAUGGGCCAAGUUUCUCAGAAAAUACACGGCUUCCUGCGGGCUGCAGCCUAAUGCCCACGUUCCUCUUGGGGCAGACCGAAGGUUAUGCAACCAGGGCAAAGGACAGCCUUGCAAACCAACUACGUCCUCCUUCUGGAGUUUGUGUGACCCCUGGCCCCUGAGCCCACAUCCUCUCGGAGCGGGGUUCCAACUCCGUGGAAGCUCUGCUGAGAUGCAGGUCCCUCCCUUGACACCUGGGGACUACAAUUAGAGAUGAGAUUUGGAUGGGGACACAGAGAGAAAUCAUGACAGGGGCUCUCCAGAGAAGCAGCUCAGCCUUGGGCAACUUAGUUCUCCCAUCUGACCAUCCAACCCAAUAAGGCUGCUGACUCACAUAGGACCAGGUUUCAGAUAUUCUCUACUGACUAGGAAGAUGAUUUUGCUUUCAGACCACACAUACACUCAUCGCCCCUCUUGCCACCCAUCCUU